UACGUAGGGGGCAAGCGUUGUCCGGAAUUAUUGGGCGUAAAGAGCGUGUAGGCGGUCCGGUAAGUCGAGCUGUGAAAGUCAAGGGCUCAACCCUUGAAUGCUGGUUGAUACUGUCGGGCUAGAGUCCGGAAGAGGCGAGUGGAAUUCCCGGUGUAGCGGUGAAAUGCGCAGAUAUCGGGAGGAACACCAAUGGCGAAGGCAGCUCGCUGGGACGGUACUGAGCGCUGAGACGCGAAAGCGUGGGGAGCAAAGCAGG
rnacentral:rRNA from 1 species